UAAGAGCCCUGGCUCUGCCUCAGGCCCUCCCCGCGGUGCUGUUCCCCGAUACUGCGAGCCUGGAGCGCUGGCUGGGGCGGGGGGGGGGGCGCCCGGGUGGGGCCCGCGGAGGUGCUUGCGGGGCCGGGAAGCGCGGUGGUCUCAGCUCACGGGACGCGGGCAGAGGCCGUGGGGGAGGGGCGCCGCCGCCGGCUAGUUGAAUGGAGUGGAACGGGGUGGGGAUCCGGUCCUGUUCACCCGGCAUUGCCUAAUACGGUGCACGGCGUGUCGCGGCGGCCUCGGAGCGCGGGCCGGAGGUUAAGUAUAGACCCGGGCAGGAAUGCGGGGCCGACCCGCGGGGGAGGCCGCUUCGGCCUCACAGUCCUGGGUGCCGCUGCUGCUCCUGCAGUUGAAGAAACGCCUGGCUCCAGCCAUCGCGGAGCUGUCCCGCCAGUGUCCCAAACCUGGUUUCCCGGUCGCCGACCCCUAGCGUGCAUUUCCUCGUGUGGCAGAUCUCUUGGCAGAGUUUUCUUAACUGUUAAUGUCACCACAAUUUUUUAAGCAAUAGUACGUCCUAGAGCUUCUUACUCGGGAAGAUUUAAAAAAAAAAAAAAAAACUUAUUAGAGCGUGUCGCCCGUGUCCAGUAUCCUUAUGGUCCCUUGCUUCAUUACUGAUACCCUGUACUUUUACUUCUGGCAUUAAGUUUGAGUUACACAUAAGGUUACACAAUGACUAUCGCUCUUAAGAGCUGUCAAAGUGACUUAUGUGUAGGCUGCGUUUUAAAAGCUGUUUCUGAAUUGCAUUGCCUUUAAAAAGUAAUUAUCGAUAUGGCCUGAGUUAACUAACCUAUAUAAAUGUGGGGAAAGCUUAAGAAGCUUUUAUAGAAAGCUUAGAAAAAUGUGAUUGGAGAAGAUUUAAUAAAUGAUUUGACACAGUACUGAGCUUAGUGUACAAUCCUGAAUACCAAACGCAGUUCAUAAGAAAUAUAAUAUUUAUUGAGGAUUACUGUGUGUCAGGCACUGUGUAGGUACCGUCUCAUUUUUAGCCCUCUGCUAUCCUGUGAGGGGUACGUGAUAUAGUUGAUAGAUUGGGAAACUAACGCACAAAGAAGUUAAGUAGCUUGCUCCAGAUCACACAACCAGCUACUGUCAGACUUGGUCUUCAGCCCAGACAGUCUGACUCCAGAGCCAUGUUUCUUCCUCGCCUUUCUGCUUUACUUACUUUUAUGGUCUCGAAAGCAGAGAACUCAUGUGUUCAAACCAUCUGGAGAACAAUUGAGCACCCUCUAUGUGCUGAUACCUUUAGAUGCAGUGGAGGCUGAAAGAAUUCUCUCUCCUUUGUGGUAGUCUUAUCCAAUCAAAAAACGUUUUCAGAACACCCGCCAUUUAUUAACUGGUCUGCUGUACCUUCUCUUUUCAGUCCAGCCUUUCUUUAGAACCCUAAGUUACCCUCUAAAAUAUAAAAGUCAGUGCAUAACUCUGGUUUACAGCCUUCAUUGACUCACUAUUACCUUCACCAUAAUUGGGAUUUAGGCUGUGUGUCAUUGAAGGCCAUUCUCAGUACGCUUCCAGAUGCCCGUUUCCAGUUUUAUUGCAUUUGCAAUCCCCCUAAAGCAUUAUGCCCUCAAAGCACCAUGCAUUUUAAUUUUCACGGCUCUCUUCAUCUUUGCUCAGACUGUCCUCUCUUUGUAUAAUAUUCUCCAUGUACCUUCCAUGACUUCUAACCAAGCUACCCUCUUUGAAGCUUUCUAGGUCUCUGACCUGACCUGAAGCAGAGUUAAAUGCUCUCUCCUUAGUGUUCUCACACUUCAUUCAUCUCCUUCCUAUCUCCCCCAGCAAAUUACUGCUUAUCUGAAACUUGUCUGUCUCUGUAACUAUAGUGAGAAAGCUUUUUGUCACUCAUCUCUUUUUAAAGGCAAGGAUAACGAAUUGAAUAAUCUAGAUAACUAAUUCUGUGGAGGUUUUCUAGGGCCAUUGAGAUUUGAAGAAGGAAUAGGAUUUGCACAUGUAGAGGGUAGACAUUUCAAGUGAGAUAAAUUCUGUAAAUAUGCAUGAGAUGUAAGAAAGCUUAGUAUAUUCUCUUGAUUUAAUUGGAAGGUUGACAAAUAGUGGCAAAUAAAUUUGGAGAAGUUGUGUUGGAAAUAGGACACCAAAGUGUACAUUUUAAUGGGGUGGAUAGCAGAGAGUUAGCCGAGGGUCUUAGUUUAGAAAACAAUAAAAUAAUGUUUAAGAAAUAAAAAUUUUACAUAAAUAUAAAAGAGAACUUGCCUAAUUCUAUAAGCUUAGCAUGACCUUUAAUUUUUCCUUUUGUAUGAGUAUAAUGUCCAGGUUUUUAUUCAAAUCUCCAUUCUUAGGGGAGCCUUCCCUGGCUAUCUGAUUCAAAGAGCAACCCCACCCAAAUACUUCCUAUUGCCCUUGCCUGCUUUGCUGCACCCCACUUAUUGCCAUAUAACUAUCCAAUGUAUUUUACUAAUUUGUCGUGUUGCUUAUUGUCAAUCGUCCCCUAUUGGAGCGCAAGCUCAGUGAAGCACUCAGGAAAUUUUAUUGUGAGUUAGUUCAUAUUAAAGAGCAUUGUAGUUAUAGUAUCUGCUCUAUUGUAUAUUCUGUUUUCACUUACUAUUCUGUCAAAUAUUUCUAUAUAAUUUUCAUAAAUACACUCAUGGUUAACAUAAGAAAAUAUAGAUUUAAUAUACAAUAACAGAUUAAAUCAUGCACUAAUGACAUUUUACUUUUGUUUCUGUUGAAUUAGUUGCUUAGGAUGAAUUCUCAGAACUAGCAUUACACAUUUAAAGGAUUUUUAUGGUACUUU